UGGACAGAUUAUUGUAUUCAACUGUAUUCACGACGUGAAAUAGGGGAUUACACUGUUUUAAAACGGAAAGUGAAUCAAUUAACAUAAUAGACUCCU
rfam:Nicotiana attenuata strain TT chromosome 5, whole genome shotgun sequence.